rnacentral:rRNA from 1 species
UGCGUGAAUACAUAGCGCAGCGAGGCGAACCGGGGGAACUGAAACAUCUAAGUACCCCGAGGAAAAGAAAUCAACCGAGAUUCCGAAAGUAGCGGCGAGCGAAAUUGGACUAGCCCUUAAGCUUUAUAUGCGUUAGGCGAACGGUCUGGAAAGUCCGGCAAUAAAGGGUGAUAGCCCCGUAGUUGACAACGCACAUUCAGUGAAAUCGAGUAGGGCGGGACACGUGAUAUCCUGUCUGAAUAUGGGGGGACCAUCCUCCAAGGCUAAAUACUACUGACUGACCGAUAGUGAACCAGUACCGUGAGGGAAAGGCGAAAAGAACCCCUGUGAGGGGAGUGAAAUAGAACCUGAAACCGUGUACGUACAAGCAGUAGGAGCACCUUCGUGGUGUGACUGCGUACCUUUUGUAUAAUGGGUCAGCGACUUAUAUUCAGUGGCAAGGUUAACCAUCUAGGGGAGCCGUAGCGAAAGCGAGUGUUAACUGCGCGACUUAGUCGCUGGAUAUAGACCCGAAACCAGGUGAUCUAGCCAUGGGCAGGUUGAAGAUUGAGUAACAUCAAUUGGAGGACCGAACCGACUAAUGUUGAAAAAUUAGCGGAUGACUUGUGGCUAGGGGUGAAAGGCCAAU